rnacentral:rRNA from 1 species
UACGUAGGAGACGAGCGUUGUCCGGAAUUACUGGGCGUAAAGCGCGUGUAGGCGGAUGAGCAAGUCUGCUGUGAAAGCUCCUGGCUUAACCGGGAGUGGUCGGUGGAAACUGCUCGUCUGGAGGACGGUAGAGGUAGGUAGAAUUCCCGAUGUAGUGGUGAAAUGCGUAGAGAUCGGGAGGAAUACCUGUGGCGAAGGCGGCCUACUGGGCCGGACCUGACGCUGAGACGCGAAGGCGUGGGGAGCGAACGGG